rnacentral:rRNA from 1 species
GACAUAGGUGGCGAACGUUAUCCGGAAUUAUUGGGCGUAAAGGAUGCGUAGAUGGUAGAAUAAGUUACUGGUCGAUGCCAAACUCAAUUUGACGGAAGCUGGUAAUACUGUUCUGCUAGAGGGCAGGAGAGGUUGAUGGAAUUCUGUGUGGAGCGGUGAAAUGCGCAGAUAUCAGGAAGAACACCUAUGGCGAAGGCAGCUCUCUGGGACGGUACUGACGCUGAGACGCGAAAGCGUGGGGAGCGAACAGG